rnacentral:tmRNA from 1 species
GGGGGCGACUGGCUUCGACGGGGUUGGUGAAGCUAUGGCCGCGUGCCCAGGUUCUCGGAUCCUGGUAAAACCUUCGGGAUAAUUUUUACCUGCCAACAACAACUUGGCCCUGGCUGCGUAGUUCUUAGGAACUGCUGCACCUGCCCUUUAGAAAGCUCGCCUGAGGCGUUUUAAAGGGUAUCGCAAAUUCGGGAUAGUCGGACGUCACGCCUUCGGGCGUUCGGCAAAAACUUAGAAGGCUUGUCCAGCAGUGGGCUGCUCACUGGCCAGCGGCUGGAGACCUCAAUCAGUGGGAUACGCACGUAGACGCUGUGGUGAAUUCAGUCUCGGACCGGGGUUCGAAUCCCCGCGCCUCCACUU